rnacentral:rRNA from 1 species
GAUGAACGCUGGCGGCGUGCCUAAUACAUGCAAGUCGAGCGAACAGACGAGGAGCUUGCUCCUCUGACGUUAGCGGCGGACGGGUGAGUAACACGUGGAUAACCUACCUAUAAGACUGGGAUAACUUCGGGAAACCGGAGCUAAUACCGGAUAAUAUAUUGAACCGCAUGGUUCAAUAGUGAAAGACGGUUUUGCUGUCACUUAUAGAUGGAUCCGCGCCGCAUUAGCUAGUUGGUAAGGUAACGGCUUACCAAGGCAACGAUGCGUAGCCGACCUGAGAGGGUGGUCGGCCACACUGGAACUGGGACACGGUCCAGACUCCUACGGGAGGCAGCAGUAGGGAAUCUUCCGCAAUGGGCGAAAGCCUGGCGGAGCAACGCCGCGUGAGUGAUGAAGGUCUUCGGAUCGUAAAACUCUGUUAUUAGGGAAGAACAAAUGUGUAAGUAACUAUGCACGUCUUGACGGUACCUAAUCAGAAAGCCACGGCUAACUACGUG